rnacentral:rRNA from 1 species
CCCUUAGAUGUCCUGGUCCGCACGCGCGUUACACUGAUGCAUUCAACGAGCUUAUAACCUUGGCCGAGAGGCCUGGGCAAUCUUGUUAACGUGCAUCGUGAUAGGGAUAGAUUAUUGAAAUUAUUAAUCUUGAACGAGGAAUUCCUAGUAAACGCAGAUCAUCAAUCUGCAUUGAUUACGUCCCUGCCCUUUGUACACACCGCCCGUCGCACCUACCGAUUGGAUGGUCCGGUGAAGCCUCGGGAUUGUGGUUCUUGCCGCUUUAUUGUGGCGUGACCGCGAGAACUUGUCUAAACCUUAUCAUCUAGAGGAAGGUGAAGUCGUAACA